rnacentral:rRNA from 1 species
AUUGAACGCUGGCGGAAUGCUUUAUACAUGCAAGUCGAACGGCAGCACGGACUUCGGUCUGGUGGCGAGUGGCGAACGGGUGAGUAAUGUAUCGGAACGUGCCCAGUCGGGGGGGAUAACGUAGUGAAAAUUACGCUAAUACCGCAUACGAUCUAUGGAUGAAAGCGGGGGAUCGCAAGACCUCGCGCGAUUGGAGCGGCCGAUAUCAGAUUAGGGAGUUGGUGGGGUAAAGGCCCACCAAGCCAACGAUCUGUAGCUGGUCUGAGAGGACGACCAGCCACACUGGAACUGAGACACGGUCCAGACUCCUACGGGAGGCAGCAGUGGGGAAUUUUGGACAAUGGGCGAAAGCCUGAUCCAGCCAUUCCGCGUGCAGGAUGAAGGCCCUCGGGUUGUAAACUGCUUUUGUACAGAACGAAAAGGUUUCUACUAAUACUAGGAGCUCAUGACGGUACUGUAAGAAUAAGCACCGGCUAACUACGUGCCAGCAGCCGCCGUAA